UACGAAGGGGGCUAGCGUUGCUCGGAAUUAUUGGGCGUAAAGGGUGCGUAGGCGGGUCUUUAAGUCAGGGGUGAAAUCCUGGAGCUCAACUCCAGAACUGCCUUUGAUACUGAGGAUCUUGAGUUCGGGAGAGGUGAGUGGAACUGCGAGUGUAGAGGUGAAAUUCGUAGAUAUUCGCAAGAACACCAGUGGCGAAGGCGGCUCACUGGCCCGAUACUGACGCUGAGGCACGAAAGCGUGGGGAGCAAACAGG
rnacentral:rRNA from 1 species